rnacentral:rRNA from 1 species
UACGAAGGGGGCUAGCGUUGCUCGGAAUUACUGGGCGUAAAGGGCGCGUAGGCGGCACUGUUAGUCAGGCGUGAAAGUCCUGGGCUCAACCUGGGAACUGCGCUUGAUACGGCAGAGCUAGAGGAUGGAAGAGGCUCGCGGAAUUCCCAGUGUAGAGGUGAAAUUCGUAGAUAUUGGGAAGAACACCGGUGGCGAAGGCGGCGAGCUGGUCCAUUACUGACGCUGAGGCGCAACAGCGUGGGGAGCAAACAGG